rnacentral:lncRNA from 1 species
UGGACUUUGCCGUGCCUUCUGAAAUGGAAGUUGAAUAAGAGAGGAGAGAUUUCUCAAUAGAAUUAUGUCUCUCCUCACUUGGCUUCUUUUACUCCCUAAAUGACUACAACACACUUGACUUUCUUGGUGGAGCUGAGGGAUACCAUUUCUGAAUCCUAGCUUAUACACCGAAUCUAACUAACUAAAGAAAGCGCCCGCACAUAACAUAAAGUAAAG